UACGUAGGCAGCGAGCGUUGUUCGGAAUUACUGGGCGUAAAGAGUGUGUAGGCGGUGCUCCCAGUCUGUUGUGAAAUCUCCCGGCUUAACUGGGAGGGUGCAGCGGAAACUAGAGUGCUAGAGGGUGGGAGAGGUAAGCGGAAUUCCUGGUGUAGCGGUGAAAUGCGUAGAUAUCUGGAGGAACACCGGUGGCGAAGGCGGCGUUCUGGACUGCAACUGACACUGAGGAACGAAAGCCAGGGGAGCAAACGGG
rnacentral:rRNA from 1 species